rnacentral:rRNA from 1 species
CCUACGUGAGGUAGCAGUGGGGGAUAUUGCACAAUGGGGGGAACCCUGAUGCAGCGACGCCGCGUGGGUGAAGGAGCGUUUCGGCGCGUAAAGCCCUAUCGGCAGGGAAGAAGGAGGACGGUACCUGACUAAGAAGCCCCGGCUAACUACGUGCCAGCAGCCGCGGUAAUACGUAGGGGGCAAGCGUUAUCCGGAUUUACUGGGUGUAAAGGGGGCGCAGACGGCAGCGCAAGCCAGGAGUGAAAGCCCGGGGCCCAACCCCGGGACUGCUCUUGGAACUGCGCGGCUGGAGUGCAGGAGGGGCAGGCGGAAUUCCUAGUGUAGCGGUGAAAUGCGUAGAUAUUAGGAGGAACACCAGUGGCGAAGGCGGCCUGCUGGGCUUUUACUGACGCUGAGGCUCGAAAGUGUGGGGAGCAAACAGGAUUAGAUACCCGUGUAGUC